GAGUUGCUUACAGUUGGUAGAGCACUUGACUUUUAAUCAAGUUGUCCGGGGUUCGAAUCCCCGCACGCUCA
rnacentral:tRNA from 1 species